rnacentral:rRNA from 1 species
UACGGGAGGCAGCAGUGAGGAAUAUUGGUCAAUGGCAGUAAGUCUGAACCAGCCAUGGCCGCGUGAAGGAGACGGCCCUAUGGGUUGUAAACUUCUUUUAUAUAGAAAUAAACCUUUUUUUGUGAGGGAACUGAAUGUACUAUAAGAAUAAGGAUCGGCUAACUCCGUGCCAGCAGCCGCGGUAAUACGGAGGGUGCAAGCGUUAUCCGGAUUUAUUGGGUUUAAAGGGUGCGUAGGCGGACUUAUAAGUCAUCGGUGAAAACCGACGGCUUAACAGUAGAAUUGCCGUUGAUACUGUUAGUCUUGAAUAAUAAGGAAGUAGGAGGAAUAAUUCUUGUAGUGGUGAAACUAAUAGAUAUUACUUAGAACACCACCAAAGAAGGCAGGCUUACUAAGGGAUUACUGACGCUGAGGCAAAAAAGCGUGGGGAUCAAACAAAAUUAGAUACCCUCGUAGUACACCCCGUAACGAUGAUACAAGUUUGUGCGCACAGUUCAGUGACCAAGCGAAAGCGAUAAGUAUCCACUGGAGAC